rnacentral:lncRNA from 1 species
UUACAAGUAGGCUAUUACAUCAACUAUGCAAUUAUUUUCUAUUGGCUGUUAAGUCUCUUUUCUAAGAUGGUAACCAUGUUAGCAUGAAUUCUAAUAUCUGAAGUAACACAUUGGAGACAAUACCAUGUGAUAUUUCAUGAUACUUGUCUCAACCAUUCAUUUCAGUACUGAAUUAUUUCCAUAAAAAUAGGAUAGUGUAUAUCUAUAUAUACUCAUCAUGGCAUUCUCAACCAAAACAAGUCAUUUGCAAUAAGAGUUCAAAUAUUUCUUUCUUACGAAAGUCCUUGUGUUCAUUGUAUUGUUCUUGCUUCGUAACAACAUAUAACAAUGGGAUUCCGGUUACCUGGUAUUAGAAGGGCUUCAUUCCAAGCAGCUUCCAAGGCUGUGGAAGUUCCAAAAGGAUAUUUUGCAGUCUAUGUUGGAGAAAACAUGAAGCGGUUUGUAAUUCCUAUCUCAUACUUGAGUCAUCCUUCAUUUCAAGAAUUACUAAACCAAGCCGAAGACAAAUUUGGAUAUGAUCGUCCUACGGGUGGUCUCACGAUUCCUUGCAGGGAGGAUGCAUUCUUAGACCUCAUUUCUCACUUGAAUAGACUGUAAAUCAUACCGUUGGAGACUGACAUAGAUUAGUUGAGGACUUGAGGCAAAUUGAAAUUGCCCACCUUUUGUAACAGGAAAAUGCUUCAAUUAGUUCAUAUUAUUUAUCUGCAAUCUUGAUGAAAUAUAAUAUAUAGAAGAAACAACCAUUGUCUUUCACAUUCUCUUCAAAUUUAGUUUUUAUUCUGUAAUGCAUUAGGUACUUGUUGCACUAAAAUUAAGUUCUAGUUGAAGUAAGAAUUAUAUAUAACCAAUUGAAGACAUUUCACUUAUUGAAUGUUGUUCAAAGACCAAUUGAAGACAUUUCCCUAUUUUUUAUGAAAACAAGGAUGAUCCUAAUUCUUUGAUACAUUGAUCAAAUAAGCAACACAAACAUUUCUCUUAUUCUAAAAUGUUAAGUCUUAGUAACACAAUUAAAUGCAUGAAGAGUGAGUCAAAUUUAUAACUCUUUACUUUCAUGGAGGUACAUUUGCUCUUCAAAUAUUUAAGUUGCAACAGAAAAUUUCAAAGAAACUCUCACCAAAGAAAAAUUACUCUGCAAAAUAUUACAUAAAAUUCCACUUAUUCAUCCCUCAAAGUUACUCUCUAUUUGUAUAGGAGACAACAAGUGAUAGUAUCUAAAUAAGUAGAUCACAAAAUUGUAUAUUUGUACAGAAGUAACUCAUCAAUUUUUUAUUCUUCUUUGCUUUGCAAUAUGGAGUGAACCAUAAAGCUUAUUUUCUUUUAUGUUUCCUUUUAUAGGAGCACAAAAAGAAAUUUUCAUUUUCUCUUCUAAAGAUUCUAAAUUAAGCACAGUACAUUUGAGUUGCAGAAUAGACUGAUAUUUGAGGGGGAAAUGAAAGAAAUAUGCUAGUGUUUAUAAAUCCAAGUAGGAUAACAAGAAAAAGAGAGAACAUUCUUAAUCUAAGAUUGUGUUACAAAAAUUGUCUAUAAGUUAUGUAUGUCUAUGUCAGGCUUGCUUUAUGUUGGUACGGUUAGCAGCUACCGAAGUGUGAAGUAAUGUGUAAGAACACAUCUUCUCUACACGGAAUUGUGAGACCGCCCAUCGGAUGGUCAUACCCAAAUUCUUCCUCGGCUUGACUAAGCAAUUCUUGAAAUGAAGAUUGGUUCAAGUAUGAUAUUGGAAUCACAAAGCGUUUCAUUUUAUCUCCAACAUAUACUGCUACAUAGCCCUUUGGCACUUCCCGUACAUUAGAGGAUGCUUUGUUUGCAUAAAAUGAUGUUCUUCUGAUGCUAGGUAAACGAAAUCCCAUUGUUGCGUCGGUUGAGAAGAAACUUACUUGUAACUGAAAUAUAUUGAAGUUUUUGAGUUUUGAAUGCUUCAGGAUGUGAAUGAUGUUUGCUGGUCUUAGAUGCUUGCAGCCAUGAAUAUAUAUAGCAGAAUGGAUAUGUAAGGAACCAUUGGCUACUUGAAUGAUUGGCGGAGUCAUGGGACCAAUUAGUGGACAAGGGCAUUCAAGACAUCACAUGGUGUUGUCGAAGAAGAGUUUCUCAAUGAUCAAUGUGUUGUAGUAGUUAACAGGAGUCCCACGAUGUGGACGGAAGACCAAUGAAUGAAGAAGGGGCCCUGCAAAUGUCAUGUAUGCAAAGUUCACGUGGUGCUGCUUGGAAUCGGAUGUACAUAUAAAAUAUGGUUCGUCGUGGCUUGUGAUCAUGUCACUUGUAUUCAAUUAUGGAUUUCUUAUUGUCUCCAAACACUACAUGUUUAAGAGCUAUUAUUAAUCAGGUCAUGCUCAACGUAUACAGAUUCGACAUUGUCACUAUGAUAUUAAUUGGUAGAUGAAUAAGAGCAGAACUAUGAAUUGAAGAAACAUGUGAGUUGUCUAAAGCAUGUCUCAUGUUAUUGCUAUGAUGCUAUCCAUAGCCAUAUAAUUUAUAAGGCUAAUAUUAAUGGCAUCUAGGCCUUAUCAAAAUGAAGAAAACAUGUGCAGUUGUCUGUAGCAUGUCUAUAAAAAUCAGAAUUCAUUAGUCCAUCAACACACAUUAGACAAGUUGUUAGUACUUGAUAGUGCCAUUAAUAAGCAAUACCAUGUGAACUUUCUUCUGCAUGGCCCUACCUUUAACCCCUUCAUCAAUUAUUUCUCUAUGAAUUAGAAAUCAAGAGACUCUUAAAAUCUAUAUAUAAACACCCUCUUGCCUUUACAAGCAACACAAGACAUUCACAUCCUCAAACAUUAUAACUUGUACACUUUCUUCCCAACUUUGAGAACUUUGCUUUGUUCUUCUUCCUGCAACUAACACAAAAAUGGGUUUCCGUUUACCUGCUAUUCGAAGACCAUCAUUCAGUUCCACCCAAGCAGCUUCAAAAUGUGUUGAAGUCCCAAAGGGGUACCUUGCAGUGUAUGUUGGAGAGAAACAGAAACGGUUUGUGAUCCCGAUAUCAUAUUUGAACCAGCCGUCAUUCCAAGACUUGUUGAGUCAAGUUGAGCAAGAGUUCGGAUAUCAUCAUCCAAUGGGUGGCCUAACAAUUCCUUGCAGCGAAGAUAUCUUUCAAAAUAUUACAUCUUGCUUGAAUAGAUUGUAAAUCUGUCAUUAUAGGUGACUAACAUAGAUUAGUAUAGACAUUUUGUACAAUUAUCAUCUUCUCAACUUGUAAAAAGGAGACUAUUUGAAUGAAAUACUCACAAGCUUUUAGUAAUGACAAUGAAUUCAAUUACUCAAGUAGUUUAUGUAUAUUACUUACAGAUUACAAUAAUCACUUGUACCUAAAAUUAUGGGCUUACUAAGUAUGAAUGAUCAAGGCAUCUUGCUGCAAGAAAAACAGAACUUGGUUAGUUUCAAUAAAUUUCAUUGCCAUGGCAGAGCUAGAAUAUUUUUCAUUCUAUGAUUCUGUAUGUUUAGGUUUUUACUUUCUUUAUCCAAGUUUUGUUUAGCAUCACUCAAUUUUCAAGUGUCGAUGACGAGGGCUGUAUUUAUCAUAUUUCUGUGUUUCAAACAAAGGUCAAGUACUGUUUCUCUACAUUUACUUAUUUUCUCAUUCUAACUAGCUCUUUGGUCAAUGUGGAAAAUUGAAAGAAAAAGUUAGAGAAAUGGCACAAAUCAAUAAAGCUCCAAUUUUCAACUUCUAAAAUUUGAGGUUAAGCUAUAAGCAUUGUUUUAAAUAAUUGAAUCAUAGAUUUAACUCGCCAAAUCUUCAAAUUUUGGUUCAUUUGAUACAAUCAGUUAAAAUUGUGCCUAAACUGGUUAUGUUAGAUCCAGAAACAUGGCUAUAUAAGACUAUAUAAUGGAUCCACUACUUUGAUCAAAAACUGGAUAGAGUACAAGCAAUAUUUUGGUUACAUGAAUGAUGCAACAAAUCUAUAUAACCAAUGUACAGUACAGAAUUUUGUACUAUUUCAGUGAUUAUUGAAGUACAAAAUUUUGUUACAUUAGGUGGGAACUUGGGAUAUUAUCUUUUAAAGUACACAAUUUUGUUACAUGGAGAAUGCAAGAAAUGGUACAUAACCACUAUGCAGUACACAAUUUUGUACUGUUUCAGUGAUUAUUGAAGUGGUUGCCUCAAUUAUGGGACCAUAGUCACAUUCACAUGCUUCAUGUCUUGCAAAUAUUAGUAAUAUCAGUUCGGAUAUUAUCACAAAAAAAUGUAAUCUUCUCAUUUUUAAAUGUGAUAUGUUCCAAGCAUGUCAGGAACAUUACAAGUAGGCUAUUACAUCAACUAUACAAUUAUUACCUUAUUGAUUGUUAAGUCUCUUUCCGAAGACGGCAACUCUGUUGGCAUGAAUUCUAAUAUCUGAAGUAACCCUUUAACACAUUGGAGACAAUACCAUGUGAUAUUUCAUGAUACUUGUCUCAACCAUUCAUUUCAGUACUGAUAAUGUAUAUCUAUAUAUACUCAUCAUGGCAUUCUUAACCAAAACAAGUCAUUUGCAAUAAGAGUUCAAAUAUUUCUUUCUUACAAAAGUCCUUGUGUUCAUUGUAUUGUUCUUGCUUCGUAACAACAUAUAACAAUGGGAUUCCGGUUACCUGGUAUUAUUAGAAGGGCUUCAUUCCAAGCAGCUUCCAAGGCUGUGGAAGUUCCAAAAGGAUAUCUUGCAGUCUAUGUUGGAGAAAACAUGAAGCGGUUUGUAAUUCCAAUCUCAUACUUGAGUCAACCUUCAUUUCAAGAAUUACUAAACCAAGCCGAAGACGAAUUUGGAUAUGAUCAUCCUACGGGUGGUCUCACGAUUC